AUGAAGCCACCUAUCCGUUUCUAUUUAAAGGCAUAUUGCAUCUCUUACUUCCUUUUGGCCAAAGGACAAGAGGAAAUAAAAAGGAAAGGAAGUGAUAUGAGAGUAAUAUAUCCAGUGCUGAGAGAACGGACAAGAGAGAGAUCAUUUCCUGCUGGAGAGAUGGCUCCUCACGAGGAUGGCUUUAUGAGGAAAGCAGUGUUUCAGCUGGGCCUCAACGGUUAAAUAGGAAUUUGGUAGUUGAAGAUAAAAGGACU
rnacentral:lncRNA from 1 species